rnacentral:tRNA from 1 species
CAGAACACAGUUAGUGACAAUUUCGCCAUAUUUAAAAAUACCCAGCAAACGGGUUGUUCUGA